AUUGAACGCUGGCGGCAGGCCUAACACAUGCAAGUCGAGCGGUAGAGAGGUGCUUGCAUCUCUUGAGAGCGGCGGACGGGUGAGUAAUGCCUAGGAAUCUGCCUGGUGGUGGGGGAUAACGUUCGGAAACGGACGCUAAUACCGCAUACGUCCUACGGGAGAAAGCAGGGGACCUUCGGGCCUUGCGCUAUCAGAUGAGCCUAGGUCGGAUUAGCUAGUAGGUGAGGUAAUGGCUCACCUAGGCGACGAUCCGUAACUGGGUCUGAGAGGAUGAUCAGUCACACUGGAACUGAGACACGGUCCAGACUCCUACGGGAGGCAGCAGUGGGGAAUAUUGGACAAUGGGCGAAAGCCUGAUCCAGCCAUGCCGCGUGUGUGAAGAAGGUCUUCGGAUUGUAAAGCACUUAAGUUGGGAGGAAGGGCAGUAAGUUAAUACCUUGCUGUUUGACGUUACCAACAGAAUAAGCACCGGCUAACUUCGUG
rnacentral:rRNA from 1 species